UUUAAAGGCAAGAAGAUGGUAGUGGUUGUCCUUUUAUUGGUGGGAAAAAUAUGAGUUCCAGAAUCAAACCCAAAGAGAUUUGGAUACCUACCACCACUCACUGUGUAAUCUUAGGAUUUUGGCCCCAAACAGUAAUUAUCAAGAUGUUGAGACCCUCUAUAACUUCCUAAUCAAGUAUGAGGUAAAUAAAAAUGUCAAAUUUACUGCCCAGGAAAUUUAUGAUUGUGUUUCUCAGACUGAGUAUAGGGAAAAGUUAACCAUUGGAUGCCGCCAGCUGGUUGAGAUGGAAUAUACCAUGCAGCAGUGCAAUGCAUCUGUUUAUAUGGAGGCCAAAAACAGGGGAUGGUGUGAAGACAUGCUCAACUAUAGGAUAUAAGUACUGAUUUGUAACUUUAAAGGAAUUGCAUUUGUCCUUAAGAAUAACAGAGUAGUUUUCAAUCUGGUCACUCUUUUGGGCCAAACCCAAGAGAAUUUUAAGAAAUGUUUCAUAGGUAUAAAAAGGUGAUCGCCUAUUACUGACAGUCUCAUUGUAGCUCUAAAAAGCCUAAUGUAUCCACUGUGGAAUAAACUCCAUAGACUCAACUCUUCUGGAGUUCACAAUGCCUCCCUACCUCUAUUCUUGAUAGUGAGCCAGUAUCUCUAAGGAAAGGAGAGCCGUAUUUUUAGUCAUCCUAGGGCAGGAGCCACUGUGGCAUCUGAGGAAGACCCAGGGUACAGUAUUAGCAUUUCUUUCAACCCUAAGUAUGGGCAUGUGACCAGAGACACUGCCAAACCCUAAGAAAUCAUUAGGGCAUGAUCAUGCUCACCAUAUUUCACAAAUGAAAUCUUAAUGUGGGCUGUUUUUUAUGAUCAAACUGUCAUCCAUGUUGACCUGAUGAAAAUAACACCCUCCUUCACCUCCCUCAGGGUAAUGAAAGUAGAAAUUUGACUGAAGCUCCUACUUCCUUAUACAGCCUUUCCUUCUGUGGGCUUGUCACUUUUCAGUACAUUUCUAGUGGGGAAGAGCAGGGCGACCCCUCUGCUGGGUUUCUCCUUAAAUGUGAAGCAAAAUAAAUUUAUAUAAUGGAAUUUGGUGGCAGUGACUGAUGUUUGUCUCUAGCUAAAACCAACUGUUUAGUUGACUUUUUAGUUAUAGGAUAAGUUGGAAGUCCUUGUUUACUGGAAUAUAUUAUGCUUUUGUUAACACAUUAGAUUAAAUAGAAUUUGGUAUUCUAUUAUAAAUGUUUAUUUUUUAAAGCAAUAAAUAACUUAUUUUUGGUAAGAUUUGGCUUUUUACUUCCAAAUUGUUUCUGAUAUGUACAUAAGGUAUGAUUAUAAAAGUGACUGUCUGCAAUAAAAGAGAACUUGUUCAGGAUAUUCACUAGUUGGUGUAGAACCUGUUAAGCUUUGGGUUUG
rnacentral:lncRNA from 1 species